rnacentral:rRNA from 1 species
CAGCAGCCGCGGUAAUACGUAGGUGGCAAGCGUUGUCCGGAAUUAUUAGGCGUAAAGGGCACGCAGGCGAUUUCUUAAGUCUGAUGUGAAAGCCCCCGGCUCAACCGGGGAGGGUCAUUGGAAACUGGGAAACUUGAGUGCAGAAGAGGAGAGUGGAAUUCCACGUGUAGCGGUGAAAUGCGUAGAGAUGUGGAGGAACACCAGUGGCGAAGGCGACUCUCUGGUCUGUAACUGACGCUGAGGAGCGAAAGCGUGGGGAGCGAACAGGAUUAGAUACCCGGGUAGUCCCUGUCUCUUAACA